rnacentral:lncRNA from 1 species
GCUAGUUGUCAGAGAGUAGUGGAGUCGCGCAGCACCUGCCGCAGGGAGCGGAGCAGAAUCGUGGCCGUUGACACAGCCUGUCAGAGAGUAAUGGGUCCGCCGCAGGGGGUGAUGGAGCCGCGCGGAAUCCGCUACAGGAAGUGGAACAAGAUCAUGGUUGUUAUUGUGACCUGCCAGGGGGCGCGGAUCUGUUGAUUGAGGCUCGGCA